GGACUGGGCAGAACCAGCAAAACUCGGCAGAGACAAUGGUGCUGGGCAAAACUCGACAGAGGCAAUCAAGACUGGGCAGAGUCGGCAAAACUCGACAGUUCUCGGCAGUUUGAUUCUGUAGAGAGCAACAGUUGCAGGAAUGGUAUUUGGAGACACUUGGAUACACAACAGGGAAGGAAAUUGUGUCUGAAGACAUUUGUCCAAAGGGGCUACGAGCAGUUGUAGAAUACUCAUGUGGCAGGUUGAUGUUAUGACAGAUUUUUUCCUUAGCAGUUGGGGUUGUCAACUACCAAAG
rnacentral:lncRNA from 1 species